UGAUGUACGUGGAAAUGCGUUGUCAGCUGCAUAGCUGUCUGCGCGGAUGAGGGAAGGUGCCGCGUUUUCUGGGGCAGAUGGUGUCCACCUCUUCGUGGGGUUUUAAGAAAAGGUUUCCAGGCCUUGAACUUGGGCUUUGCUAGGUGAACUCGAUUGGUGACAACAUUUAUUUAUUCAGGAAGUGUUUAGACAUAAAAAUUUAGUAGAAAGUAUAUUCUAGAUUGAUGGGCAACUAGAAAGUAAGACCGAUUUUUAAAGGAAGCUGAGAGGAAAGGGAAGGUUUCUUAGCGUUGAAGGAGGAAGAGGAAGGAGUUUUAACUACAGCCCCUGACUCGUGUCUGCCCAGGUCUACCGGCGAGUGACCCUGCAGGAGGAGACACCAGCUUGCCUAGGUUCCUUCCAAAGACUUCGUGCUGGUGGCACUGUACAUUCCUUCUGCUGCUUUUUGUAUGGGGCAAAUUAUCCUUGCAUAUCUCUAAGGAUUCACGGAGUAUAUUGAGAAAAGUUGGUGGCAAAGACAAAGGAUUACCCUCUAAAUGUAACCAAUGUUGCCAAGUUCUCGUGAGUCUUUCCAGAAAUAUCCCGGACCAGCACACAUAUGUAUCUGUUCUUUGCAAACCCAUGCAGGAUGGUACGCGGUUGAUUUUUGCGUGGCUCCGCACAAUACUUCGUAGCAGAAUGCUAGCCUCCAAUUGGUAUGUUCCAAGUCCCACUUGAUUUUAACUACUACAUAGGCUAAAGGGUGUGCGGCUUUAAAGGAAUAAACUAUAAAAAUGUUUAUGGAUUUAAACGCAUUUGUAGAUUUAAAUGUUUUAUGAACAUUUUAGACAGUUUUCUGUUGAAUAUUUUGGUGGUGGUUUUCAACAAGAAAAGUUGUAAGGCUGGGUGUGGUAGCCCAGGCCUUUAAUUGUACUGCUCUGGAGGCAAUCAGAUUGAUCUUUGUGAACUCAAGGUCAGCCUGGUCUACUUGGUGAGUUCUAGGACAGUUAGGUUCACAUAGAGAGAUCUUGUCUCAAAACACCAAAAAUACAAAGGGAAAAGAAAAAAUUUGUAAGAUUUAGGUGGUUGUUCUCAUCAAGAAAAAUUGUUAGUGGCCCUGAAGCUGACAUUCAGGGCUUUUGUGCAUGCUAGGCUCCUCAGCUCUGAGCUACGACCCAGCAAAAGGCUAUUGACCUCAGUCACUGGGGGAGAUCUUUCUCUUUCCUGGGGAUAACGUGUUAAAGCCUUCCUGAGGAAGUCUUCAAAGAAAGAACUUUUAAAAAGGUCAAUAGGGAAGGAGCUGGUGCAUUUUGUGCACAAAAUCAAGCUACUUGUCAGUUACAAGUCUUGAGAAGGGAUUGGUCCAGAUUUAGUGCCAGAUACUAAACUAACUCCAGGGGACAAGGCUUUCAGACCCUCAGUUCAGCUUCCUGAAA